rnacentral:rRNA from 1 species
AUCGAACGCUGGCGGCAGGCCUAACACAUGCAAGUCGAGCGGCGCGGGGGACGGGUGAGUAAUGCCUAGGAAUCUGCCUGGGAGUGGGGGAUAACGUCCGGAAACGGGCGCUAAUACCGCAUACGAUCAGAUGAGUCUAGGUCGGAUUAGCUAGUGGGUGUGGUAAAGGCCUACCAAGGCGAUGAUCUGUAACUGGUCUGAGAGGAUGAUCAGUCACACUGGAACUGAGACACGGUCCAGACUCCUACGGGAGGCAGCAGUGGGGAAUAUUGGACAAUGGGCGAAAGCCUGAUCCAGCCAGGCCGCGUGUGUGAAGAAGGUCUUCGGAUUGUAAAGCACUUUAAGUUGGGAGGCGGUACCUACAGAAAAAGCACCGGCUAACUACGUGCCAGCAGCCGCGGUAAUAC